rnacentral:lncRNA from 1 species
AAAACACUCCUUAAUGAGUAGAUACGAGUAAAAGAAGUAAGCUCAAGAUCACAACAACUUUGAACAAUAAUAUGGCUCUCAAAAUAUAUGUAAUGAAUAUAAAAGGAUAAGCAAUAGAGUAUGCAAGCUUAUAGCAAUUGUAUGAUUAGUUGUUGUGUGUUAUUGUGUUUAAAACACUGAAAUGAAGCUGUAUUUAUAGUUGAAAAACUUGGCAUUAUCGUUGCCUAAUUGCCAAUUA